UACCUAGGGUGCGAGCGUUAAUCGGAAUUACUGGGCGUAAAGCGUGCGCAGGUGGUUUGUUAAGUCAGAUGUGAAAGCCCCGAGCUUAACUUGGGAACUGCGUUUGAGACUGGCAAGCUAGAGUCUGUCAGAGGGGGGUAGAAUUCCACGUGUAGCAGUGAAAUGCGUAGAGAUGUGGAGGAAUACCAAUGGCGAAGGCAGCCCCCUGGGAUAAGACUGACGCUCAUGCACGAAAGCGUGGGGAGCAAACAGGAUUAGAUACCCUGGUAGUCCACGCCCUAAACGAUGUCAACUGGUUGUUGGGCAACUUGAUUGUUCAGUAACGAAGCUAACGCGAGAAGUUGACCGCCUGGGGAGUACGGUCGCAAGAUUAAAACUCAAAGGAAUUGACGGGGACCCGCACAAGCGGUGGAUGAUGUGGAUUAAUUCGAUGCAACGCGAAAAACCUUACCUACCCUUGACAUGUACGGAAGUCUGCUGAGAGGUGGAUGUGCCUGAAAGGGAACCGUAACACAGGUGCUGCAUGGCUGUCGUCAGCUCAUGUCGUGAGAUGUUGGGUUAAGUCCCGCAACGAGCGCAACCCUUGCUAUUAAUUGCCAUCAUUAAGUUGGGCACUUUAAUAGGACUGCUGGUGAUAAACCGGAGGAAGGUGGGGAUGACGUCAAGUCCUCAUGGCCCUUAUGGGUAGGGCUUCACACGUCAUACAAUGGCCGGUACAGAGGGAUGCCAACCCGCGAGGGGGAGCCAAUCUCAGGAAGCCGGUCGUAGUCCGGAUUGUUCUCUGCAACUCGAGAGCAUGAAGUCGGAAUCGCUAGUAAUCGCGGAUCAGCAUGUCGCGGUGAAUACGUUCCCGGGUCU
rnacentral:rRNA from 1 species